ACUGCUCAGUAACACGUGGAUAACCUGCCCUUGGGUCCGGCAUAACCCCGGGAAACUGGGGAUAAUUCCGGAUAACGCACAUAUGCUGGAAUGCUUUAUGCGUAAAAUGGAUUCGUCUGCCCAAGGAUGGGUCUGCGGCCUAUCAGGUAGUAGUGGGUGUAAUGUACCUACUAGCCUACAACGGGUACGGGUUGUGAGAGCAAGAGCCCGGAGAUGGAUUCUGAGACAUGAAUCCAGGCCCUACGGGGCGCAGCAGGCGCGAAAACUUUACAAUGCGGGAAACCGUGAUAAGGGGACACCGAGUGCCAGCAUCAUAUGCUGGCUGUCCAGGUGUGUAAAAUACACCUGUUAGCAAGGGCCGGGCAAGACCGGUGCCAGCCGCCGCGGUAACACCGGCGGCCCGAGUGGUGAUCAUGAUUAUUGGGUCUAAAGGGUCCGUAGCCGGUUUGGUCAGUCCUCCGGGAAAUCUGAUAGCUCAACUAUUAGGCUUUCGGAGGAUACUGCCAGACUUGGAACCGGGAGAGGUAAGAGGUACUACAGGGGUAGGAGUGAAAUCUUGUAAUCCCUGUGGGACCACCUGUGGCGAAGGCGUCUUACCAGAACGGGUUCGACGGUGAGGGACGAAAGCUGGGGGCACGAACCGGAUUAGAUACCCGGGUAGUCCCAGCCGUAAACGAUGCUCGCUAGGUGUCAGGCAUGGCGCGACCGUGUCUGGUGCCGCAGGGAAGCCGUGAAGCGAGCCACCUGGGAAGUACGGCCGCAAGGCUGAAACUUAAAGGAUUGGCGGGGGAGCACA
rnacentral:rRNA from 1 species